ensembl:lncRNA
GACCUACAGCUGAAUGUUAUCACUUCCAGGUGAAGGGGUCCCAGGGCCUUGCUGGCCUGGAAGUAGAGUUAUACAGACAUCGCCUGCUGAUGCUCCCUUAUCCUCCAGAUCUCUGGGUCUCCUUCUAAAACAUUAGGACUAGAAGAAACUACGAGAGCAUCCAAGCAUUUCCUCCAACGUUCUGUUUUACAGUGUGUCCCCACUAGAAUGUAAGUUCCACGAGAGCAGAGAAGCUGACUGUCCGGCAGUUCUCUAACGUGCACCCAGCUUCUGGAACAGUGGCGAGCUCAGAGCAGGCCCUCAAUCAAGCAUCUGUUGAAUGAGCGCUUUGCGGGAGCCCAGAGCAGCGACCACCGGAAAGACGAAGGUCUGACUCCCACCCGUCCCCAGACAAGCGUUUCUGAUGUUUCCUCCUGAGAUGGGCAGCCACACGCCCUUGGCCUUCACCUUGAGCUGACAGGCUGGUGUCUGCGGCCCCCAGAGGCUUGGCCGGAUCUGUGGCCAGCUCCCACAGGAAGACGACAGCACAGCCCCCACCUGCACACACCCCAGCAACUGUCCUCAGCUCAGUUCUCCUCUGACAAACCUCGCUAGCGUCCUUGGCUUUUCACUCCUCAGGCUUGUGGCCAGGAAAUGCGACUCCAGAGGCACUGUCUGUGACACUUGGGAUAUGUCAGCGAUCGAAAGAGACCACGAUGCCUGCCCGUGGGGACUUCGUGUUCCAGUGGAAGAAGACAGACAAUUACACAAAGAUCAGAAGAGGAUGUGAGGUCAAGCCCAGUGCUCCAGAGGCCCGUGUGGUCUUUGUUCCCCAAGGAGGCAGGACAGGACAGAGGUUAUAAGGGCUUAAGUUCCAAUAUCAAACUAGAUUCAAAGACCAGCGUCAGCGCUUACCAGCUACAUGACUGUGGGCGUCAUAUUCCGUCUCUCUGAGCCUCAGUUCCCUCUACUUCAGAACGAAGAUAAUAGUGCACCUACCUCGAAGGGCUUUUUUAAGGAUUAAAUGAAAUAAUGUACACAAAUUCCUUUGCCCGCAGGAAGAACCCAAUAAAACUCAGCUGUAAUG